rnacentral:lncRNA from 1 species
AAAGACUAUAUAUAAUAACAUGUAAGUGCCACCUAGUGAAGCGUGCAUCACUUAGGAGGUUUGCAUCGGCCUGAUCCAGGUAUGAUUGGAACCUGAUUGCUAAACAGGACGACUUCUUUGUAGAAAAUACAUGCUGCUGGCUCGAAAUCUUGGUUUCUUGGUUGAAUUCACAAGAGUUGCACUAGCUGCAAGGAUUGUAAAUAAAAAUACGGUGAAUUUAGACAUAAGAAAGAUAGAGGUUUCUUGAAGAUAAGGAUACAAAACACCUGAGAGUCCACAUGUUCACAUUGAGACACCCUUCGCGUCCCGAAAGUUCGAGGACUUGCAUACAUUGUUAUAACCAGAUAUUUUACAUUUUUUUUAUAAUUAUGUAUAUAUGUGUGUGGUUUUUUAAAAUAAUAAUAACAAUAAAAUAAUUAAUCAGAUUUUCUAGUAUAUUCUUUUUAAUAAUUAAUGGUGUUAUAAGUACUAGUGGAUAUAUUAUCAAUUACAUAAUAAUUUAAAGAAUGAAGAUGAAAUAAAAGUAAUUUGCACCCUUUGAUUUAAGGUCAAAAUUUUUGUUUUUUCUUGUUUUAUUAAUUUAAGGUUUUUUCUCUGUCCAUAUCUUUAAAUUGAGUUAUAUAUAUAUAUAUAUAUUAGGGUUAUUGAAAAAGAUUUAGGAAUUAAGAUUUUUAUGAUAUUUAGUUUUUAAUUAGAAAAAGAGAUGGUUACUCCGGGCCACAUAAUAAACAACUCCCAAAAACCAGUAAAAUUCACCCAUGGAAGCAACCGACAUAAAUUCCCUUAUAUUGAUACGAUGAUCCAAUUAGAUACUGAUUAGGUGUGUGACCCCUUUUUCCCUUAACUUGUUUGGAGAUUAAUAUGAAAAAAUCUAAAUUAUUAUAUUAACUCAUGGAUAUUAUUAAUUAAUUUUAUUAAAACAACGUUAUUUCAUUUUUGAGUGGAGUGUAACUGAUCUACAACAAACCUUUAUGUCUGAUAUAGAAAGUGAAAAGCAGAAGCAGUAGUAGAAAGAGACAAUCAAAGAGAGAAUAUGUUAUUUACUUCAAAAAAUGAUGCCUUGAGAACUGUAAAUGGACAUAUUCUCUGUCCAAUAAGGAAAAGAACUAGAAAGUGUAAAUGGCGCUUGAAAUAAGGAUGGGUUCAUUUAAAGAAAACGAAACCUGAAAAAACCGUUGCCUUUAGAAACUACAAAUGCCGUUGGCGAUAGAUACUAGGAGCUGGUUUCUGGUAAUUUUCUUUAUCAAGGAAUAUUGCGUUCUGGGUUUCAGUACAU